CCCGCGGUGCCACCGGCUCCGGGGUGGCCUCAUCCCGACCCCCCAGUGCCCUCGGCCACGGUCCGGGGCCGGGUGCCCACCCAGCACCGCGGUGCCCGACGGCCGAGGUCCGGUCCCGUGGCCAUUCCCAGCCUUUCCCAUCCCCGUGGAAGCAGAGGGGUUCCCGGUGUCGGUGACACUCCGGCUGUGCCGCCAUCCCUUCCAGGCAUCUCCAGAGCCACCGAGACAUUGCAUUUGGAAAAGCCAUCCGGGAGAAGGCAGAGCCCCAACCCACGUGGCCACUGCUCAGCUGUGCUGACCCCUCGGCCACGCUGACCCCUCAGUCACACUGACCCCUCAGUCACACUGACCCCUCGGCCACACUGACCCCUGGGUCACACUGACCCCUGGUCACACUGACCCGUCAGCCGUGCCGACCCCUUGGCCACGACAACCCCAUCGGCCGUGCCAACCCCUUUGGUCACCUCUUGGCCACACCAACCUAUCAGCCGCGCUGACCCCUCGGUCACACUGACCCCCCCCGGCCACAGCAACCCCUCGGCCGUGCCGAACCCUUGGCCACCCCUUGACCACGUCAAUCCAUCAGCCGUGUCGACCCCUCGGUCACACUGACCAGUCCUCCACGCCAACCUAUCGGCCACACCGUCCCCUCGGCCGCGUUGACCCCGUGGCCGUGCUGAACCCUUGGCCAACCCACCGGCCGUGCUGAACCUUUGGCCACCCCUUGGCCGUACCAACCCAGCGGCCGUGCUGACCCCUCGCUUGCCCCUUGGCCACGCUGGCCCCUCAGCCACCCAUCGGUCGUGCCAAACCCUUGGCCAGCCCUUGGCCCCACCAACCGCUUGGCCACGCCAACCCCGUGGCCGGGUUGACCCCUCGGCCACACUGACCCCUUGGCCCCACCAACUGCUUGGCCACACCAACCCCGUGGCCGGGUUGACCCCUCGGCCACGCCGACCCCCUUUGGCCACGCCAACCUACCGGCCACGCCAACCCUUCGGCCGUGCCGAGCCUUCGACCACCCCUCGGCCCUCCUGGCCCCCCCGGGCCACGCCAACCCCUCGGCCGUGCCGCCCCCGUGGCCACCCCCGGGCCCCGCCGUGCCCCCCCGUGCCGCGCAUGCCGUGGCGCCGGGCCCGGCCGCGGCGGUUACUGUGAUUCUCAUGGCUUCUCAACGACUUGGGUUUAAUCCGCUGUACAAAGGGAGACACUUUCUUUUUUUUUUUUAUUUUUUUCCUCCCCCCCCUCCGCUUCGAAGGGGGUGGGUUUGGUUUUUUUUUUUGGUUUUUCGGUUUUUUUUUUAGAAGCUGUUUAGGAGUAUUUUCCGUUGUCCAGCCGAGCGCCAUCGCCCCCCCUUCUUCCCCCCCCACGCCGCCUCCAUCAGCCUGUCCGUGACCUCCCCCUCCCGACCCCCCCAGACAAAACAACCCGGAGCACUUGGCUCCCGCUGGCCCCGUCCCGGACAGCCCUCACUGCCCAUGCAUGUGCCACCCGCGGAGCCACCCUCACGCCCACUGCAUGUGCACAGCCCGGCUCCCGCCGCGGCCCCGCCAUCCACACACUCUUGGUUCUCACCCAGACGGACUCACCUGUGGGUUUUCGUUCCCGGUUUUAAUUUUUUUCCCCCAGGGUCGGUUUGACUUCACCCUUAUUUUGUAUGGAUUUUUUCCGGAGGAGAUUUCUCCUUCUCCGGAGUCAUGGAGGUGCGGCCAUUCGCCUCCCGCCCUUGACGUUGUGAUACACAUCCCCCACAGAGAUCUAUGUUUCUUAUAUUAUAUUAUUAUUAUUAAUUAUUAUUAUUAUUAUGUAAUAAAUUUAUAAGAAAGCUC